GAUGAACGCUGGCGGCGUGCCUAAUACAUGCAAGUCGAGCGAACAGACGAGGAGCUUGCUCCUUCGACGUUAGCGGCGGACGGGUGAGUAACACGUAGGUAACCUACCUAUAAGACUGGGAUAACUUCGGGAAACCGGAGCUAAUACCGGAUAAUAUUUCGAACCGCAUGGUUCGAUAGUGAAAGAUGGCUUUGCUAUCACUUAUAGAUGGACCUGCGCCGUAUUAGCUAGUUGGUAAGGUAACGGCUUACCAAGGCAACGAUACGUAGCCGACCUGAGAGGGUGAUCGGCCACACUGGAACUGAGACACGGUCCAGACUCCUACGGGAGGCAGCAGUAGGGAAUCUUCCGCAAUGGGCGAAAGCCUGACGGAGCAACGCCGCGUGAGUGAUGAAGGUCUUCGGAUCGUAAAACUCUGUUAUUAGGGAAGAACAAACGUGUAAGUAAAUGUGCACGUCUUGACGGUACCUAAUCAGAAAGCCCCGGCUAACUACGUG
rnacentral:rRNA from 1 species